GGACGUGCCAGAGUGGUUAAUGGGAUAGACUUGAAUUUUAUUUGAUAUCUAUUGGCUUCGGUCGCGCAAGUUCAAAUCUUGUCGUCAGCG